rnacentral:rRNA from 1 species
GACGAACGCUUGCGGCGUGCCUAAGAAAUGCAAGUCGAGCGAGGAUUCACGCUGACCGAAGCUUCGGCAGAGGUCUUGUGAAGCCUAGCGGCGAACGGUCGCGUAACACGUAAGCAACCUGCCCUGAAGUGUGGGAUAGCCCUCCGAAAGGAGGAUUAAUACCGCAUGUGGAUACGAUGUCGCAUGGCAACGUAUCUAAAGCAGCAAUGCGCUUCAGGAUGGGCUUGCGGCCUAUCAGCUAGUUGGUGGGGUAACGGCCUACCAAGGCGACGACGGGUAGCUGGUCUGAGAGGAUGGUCAGCCGGAUUGGGACUGAGACACGGCCCAGACUCCUACGGGGGGCAGCAAUUAGGAAUCUUGCGCAAUGGGGGAAACCCUGACGCAGCGACGCCGCGUGAGCGAUGAAGUCUUUCGGGAUGUAAAGCUCUGUCCUGUGGGGAAGAAGAAUGUGACGGUACCCACAGAGAAAGCCCCGGCUAACUA